AGCGAACGCUGGCGGCAGGCCUAACACAUGCAAGUCGAACGAACCUUUCGGGGUUAGUGGCGUACGGGUGAGUAACACGUGGGAACGUGCCUUUAGGUUCGGAAUAACUCAGGGAAACUUGUGCUAAUACCGAAUGUGCCCUUCGGGGGAAAGAUUUAUCGCCUUUAGAGCGGCCCGCGUCUGAUUAGCUAGUUGGUUGAGGUAAUGGCUCACCAAGGCGACGAUCAGUAGCUGGUCUGAGAGGAUGAUCAGCCACAUUGGGACUGAGACACGGCCCAAACUCCUACGGGAGGCAGCAGUGGGGAAUCUUGCGCAAUGGGCGAAAGCCUGACGCAGCCAUGCCGCGUGAAUGAUGAAGGUCUUAGGAUUGUAAAAUUCUUUCACCGGGGACGAUAAUGACGGUACCCGGAGAAGAAGCCCCGGCUAACUUCGUG
rnacentral:rRNA from 1 species